AUCCUGUUGCAAGUAUCGUGCUUGCACAGCUUUUAGCUGAGCUCCCUGGGGCAAACGUCCCCUGUGUCGGCUGUGCUGCUGGAGUUGGUUGAAGGGUCACAGUGACUCAGCCUGGGGAAGCUUCUGUGGUUUAAAAGUGUCGUGUGUGCUGCAGUGUGAAAUACAGAUUAGUUUGCUACAAGGUCACCCAUGUGCUGCAGUCAUUUUUUAGUGUCGAGCUGCUGGAACUGUAUCCUCUACCGCUGCACAACCCAAAGACAGAACAGCUGUGGGUGUAGUUGUGGGUAGAAGAGAGGUUAAAUGGAUGAGGAAGAAUUUGAUUUCCUUCUUCCCAAAGCUGUUCAGGUUGUAACAAAAUCUUAACUCCAACGGUGUGACGUGUCUGCCAGCCUUGCAAGCUUUACAUGCAGCCUUGGAGCCCCUUUGGGUCUGAAGACUGCUAAGGCCGCAGAGAAAGGUCUGUGCUGAAGUGCUGCUCACAAUUUCUGUGCUCUAGCAGGGAGCCUUCACCCAUAGCGUGGCAGAGGGCGAAGCCUGGGGCGGGAUGAGCCAGCACCGGCCUGGAACAGGCCUGAAACGGGCCUUCCUGUGCUUCUGCAGGAGCAAGUGCCAGUCUGGGCACAAACUGCAGACCUUGAGAGAGAAAGAAAAAUGUGUGGUUGAGCAGAGGCUCUGCUGGAACUGGUACGUUCACGUAAGCGGCUCCGCAGCAUCCUGCCAGCCUGAUCUGCAUCUUUUCUCAAGAAAAAAUGCCUCUUGCUCCAGAGCUGAAGAGCAGAAGUGAACUUCCAUGUAAAGCUGGAACAUCUGGUGAUGUUGGAUGUCUAGACACCAUCUGCUGCAGAUUGCUUACACAGCGAGUGUGCAGUCAGCUAGCAACACGUUCAGUGUUCUUCCUUGGGGGAAUACUGUCUUCAGCCAGCCUUAUGGAUGGUGGCCUUAACCGUGCGGCAUCCUUGCCAAUGACACGCCAUGAAGCAAAUGGUUUUGGUUACUCAAACAGGAGCAGCAGGUUUCUCAAAGCCUGAGUGUGUCAGGACAGUGUGUAAAGAAGAGAUGUGCUGGGGAGCUGAGUGAGAAGGAGCACAAUGUGUGCAGUGAAUUCCUGGUUUCCCUGGCUGGAUCCCCUCAGACAAUGGAGUGUGGACCUUGGAGGAAGAGCUGUGGGGAAAGCGGGAUGAUUGUCAUGAAUGGCUGUAGCUCUGCUAAUGUUCCUCGGCCUAUCAAGGGGGAAGUUUCUGGGUAAGCAAGAGUUUAGUACUUCAGUACAUGGCAGGAUGGUUACAGCAGGUCACCACACUGUUCCAGAGCCAGCUGCACGCACAACUGGGGCUGCUGGGCUGCCCUGGCCACCGGGCACAGCUGGAGCACUGGGGUCUGACUGCCCUGGCGCCGGCUGGGCCACCCCUGAGCAAGAGCCUCCCCUGCUUUGCCUUAUCCCAUGGCAAUGCUAUGAGUUCCUUGAUCUCUUUGUCUAAUCAGACAGGAAGAAAGCUGCUCCCCCCUAACAGGGGACACCAAAGCAGUGACAAAGGGAAGGUCCCAGCUUGCCCGCAGCAGUCAAGCGUACGUGACGCAGGUUGUGCUGGGAGGGGAUGUGACCGGCUGAGGAACAGAGUGAUGUGUGGGGAGAGGAUUGUCAUCAGAGUCUUGCUGUGCACUGUCACAUGCCAGUGCUUGGUCCAGCGCAGUAACCAUCAACCAUACCAUGAAACGUCAGCCAAAGCCUGCGUUGAGGGAGGUGCUGUGUUACUUUUACAACUAGAUCUGUUGGUCUUUCCCAGGACUUUGAAGUGUCCUUAUGUGUUCAUUGAACUCUUAACAGGCAAAAAUUAAUAAUUUGAAAGUGCUGCUUGACUUUUAAGCAUCCAUAUCGACCUGAAGGAGUCACUUGAGGCUGACUUGUGGCUACACUGAUGUAUCUCUGUAGUUGAGAAUUAUUUUUCUAUAAUGCUUGUCAUUUUUAAAUUCUUCAGUGUGUUCUGUGUGCUUGAGUCACUUACGGGGAACCCUUCAUCAGCUGAAAAUUAUCUCUGAAGGAUGCGGUGGCUUUGGUGACCUACCAUUGACAUCUGAAGGUAGAAGCAUCCAAGGCUGCAGUGCCUCACUGCAACUCCCGCCUGGAGCCUGCAGCUCUGCCCUCCCUCGAGAGCCAGGCCAGGCGCUGGAACAGCAGACACGUGUACUGAGAAACGGGGUUUUGAGUGCCCUGCACAGAUCUUUCUGUUUCUGACCAAGCUCCUCGUCAUCUGUAUGGGCUUCAUUCUGCACAGUAAGACUGUGUUUAAACAUUUACCCUUCAGAGUAGAAAUGCUUUAUGGUAAAAGCAGAGUCUAAUGCCUUACUGCAGUGCUGUUUCUAACUGCCACUGAACCUCAAAGAUCUUGAGGCCCUUACAGAGAUCCACACGUGAAAAAUAUUCCAGACAACCAACUGGUUUGCCUCGGCUGCGGGGGUUUGGCUGGGUUGGUCUCACCCUCAGAAUAGCUUUUCCUUAGAAAAGAUGAUGUUGUCAAAAUGUUUUGACUUAUGUCUCAACAAGAUGAGAUGCAAAUACUUCAAGUGAGUAAAUUCAAAGUGUUGUGACUCUCCUUUA